CUUGGCAGUCCAAGGUGGGUCAGCUGGAGCGGUCGCUGCAGGAAGCAGAUGCGCGGUACCAGCUGGAGAAGCAGAAGAGGAGGGUGCUGCACAAUCGCUUGGUGGAGCUGAAAGGGAAUAUCAGGGUUCACUGUCGGAUCCGGCCUCUGCUGCCUUUUGAUAAGGAAUUUGGUGAUCCAGCUUCACAGGACAGCUCGGUGCCAGCAGGAGUGGUCCACGCCAUCGAUGAUGUGAGUGACGUUCCCAACACGCUGUCUUUGGAGAAGCCUUCUGUUCGGUGCUUCCCACAGUCCCCAGAGUCAUCCAGAGAUGGGUGAACGCACCAUCAU